rnacentral:misc_RNA from 1 species
GCAGUGUCUUGCAACUUAAAUUCAAUCCACUUAUCUGGUUUAAGAGCAACUUUUGGAGAAGUCUCUUCUUUGACUUGGUCAAGAUGAGCCAAGUUUGGAGACGAGUAGUAGUACACAUAGGAGAUUCCACCAGAAACUGCUGCAAUUGCUCCAAAAGGAAUGCGAAACGCUCCGUAAUUGGACUUGUGUUGCCCCCCAAAUCCUAUUGGAACAGCUUUCGCCAUUCUCCUGAAGAAUGUAGAGGCCAUUUUUCAAGGACAAAGGAGACGCAGAGCAGCGUUAGUAGAGCACAACCCAAUGAACAAGCAAUCAGGGUUUUG